AACUCACAGUGCAGAAAAACCCUAUAACUGUAAACAGUGUGGUAAAGCCUUUAAAUCUCACAGUUCCCUUCGAGUCCAUGAAAGAAACCAUACUGGGGAAAAGCCCUAUGAAUGUAAGCAAUGUGGCAGAUCCUUUAUUUACCCCUGCUUACUCCAGAUCCAUGAAAGAACUCACAGUGGUGUCAAACCCUAUGGAUGUAAGCAGUGUGGGAAAGCGUUCAGACGCCUCAGUGACCUUCGAGUACAUGAAAGAAUUCAUACUGGAGAAAAACCUUAUGAAUGUAAACAGUGCAUUAAAUCUUUUAUUAAUCGGUAUUUACUUAAGAUGCAUCAAAAGUCUCAUACUGGUGAGAAACCCUAUAAAUGUAAGAUGUGCAGUAAAGCCUUCAUUUAUCCUUCCUUACUUAAACUGCAUGAAAGAUCUCACACUGGGGAAAAACCCUAUCCAUGUAAACAAUGUGAUAAAGCCUUCAUUUUCCCCUCUUUACUUAAAAUGCAUGAAAGAACUCACACUGGGGAAAAGCCUUAUGCUUGUAAACAGUGCGGUGAAGCCUUCAAAAGCUACAAUUCCCUUCAGAGACAUAAAAGAAUUCAUACUAAUGUAAAGCCUUACGAAUGUAAACAUUGUAGCAAAACCUUCAUAUGUCAGAGAUCCCUUCAGUUACAUAAUAGAACUCAUACUGGAGAAAAACCAUAUAAAUGUGAAGAGUGUGGUAACUCCUUCAGAUACCACAAUUCCCUUCAAAGACAUAGAAUAAUUCAUACUGGGAAAAAUCUCUAUGAAUGUAAACAGUGUGAUAGGUCCUUCAUUUAUCCGUAUUUACUCCAAAUACAUGACAGAACUCACUCUGGGGGAAAACCCUAUGAAUGUAAACAGUGUGGUAAGUCCUAUAUUUAUCCUUCUUUACUACGAAUACAUGAAAGAACUCA
rnacentral:lncRNA from 1 species